rnacentral:rRNA from 1 species
CCUACGGGGGGCAGCAGUGGGGAAUAUUGGACAAUGGGGGCAACCCUGAUCCAGCCAUGCCGCGUGUGUGAAGAAGGCCCUCGGGUUGUAAAGCACUUUCAGUGAGGAAGAACGCCUGGUGGUUAAUACCCAUCAGGAAAGAGAUCACUCACAGAAGAAGCACCGGCUAACUCCGUGCCAGCAGCCGCGGUAAUACGGAGGGUGCGAGCGUUAAUCGGAAUUACUGGGCGUAAAGCGCGCGUAGGUGGCUUGAUAAGCCGGUUGUGAAAGCCCCGGGCUCAACCUGGGAACGGCAUCCGGAACUGUGAAGCUAGAGUGCAGGAGAGGAAGGUAGAAUUCCCGGUGUAGCGGUGAAAUGCGUAGAGAUCGGGAGGAAUACCAGUGGCGAAGGCGGCCUUCUGGACUGACACUGACACUGAGGUGCGAAAGCGUGGGUAGCAAACAGGAUUAGAUACCCUAGUAGUC